GCCUACGGGAGGCAGCAGUGGGGAAUAUUGCACAAUGGGCGAAAGCCUGAUGCAGCAACGCCGCGUGAAGGAAGAAGGUCUUCGGAUCGUAAACUUCUGUCCUUGGGGAAGAUAAUGACGGUACCCUUGGAGGAAGCCCCGGCUAACUACGUGCCAGCAGCCGCGGUAAUACGUAGGGGGCAAGCGUUAUCCGGAAUUAUUGGGCGUAAAGAGGGAGCAGGCGGCAGCAAAGGUCUGUGGUGAAAGACUGAAGCUUAACUUCAGUAAGCCAUAGAA
rnacentral:rRNA from 1 species